GGUCAGGAUGAACGCUAGCGGCAGGCUUAACACAUGCAAGUCGAGGGGCAUCGGGAGUAGCAAUACUUGCCGGCGACCGGCGCAAGGGUGCGUAACGCGUGAGCAACAUGCCCGUAUCAGGGGGGAUAAUCCAUGGAAACGUGGUCUAAUACCCCAUAGUAAUUAUGUAAGGCAUCUUAUAUAAUUUAAAGCUUUGGUGGAUACGGAUUGGCUCGCGUGACAUUAGCUAGAUGGUAAGGUAACGGCUUACCAUGGCUACGAUGUCUAGGGGUUCUGAGAGGAAGGCCCCCCACACUGGAACUGAGACACGGUCCAGACUCCUACGGGAGGCAGCAGUGAGGAAUAUUGGACAAUGGAUGGAAAUCUGAUCCAGCCAUGCCGCGUGCAGGAAGAACCGGCCCUAUGGGUUGUAAACUGCUUUUGUAUGGGAGCAAUAAGGGCUACGCGUAGUCCGAUGAGAGUACCAUACGAAUAAGCACCGGCUAACUCCGUGCCAGCAGCAGC
rnacentral:rRNA from 1 species